rnacentral:tRNA from 2 species
AGCUGAAUGGCGCAGCGGAAGCGCGCCGGGCUCAUAACCCGGAGGUCGCUCGAUCGAAACGAGCUUCAGCUA